AUUGAACGCUGGCGGCAGGCCUAACACAUGCAAGUCGAACGAGUGGCGGACGGGUGAGUAAUGUCUGGGAAACUGCCUGAUGGAGGGGGAUAACUACUGGAAACGGUAGCUAAUACCGCAUACCAUCGGAUGUGCCCAGAUGGGAUUAGCUAGUAGGUGGGGUAAAGGCUCACCUAGUCGACGAUCCCUAGAUGGUCUGAGAGGAUGACCAGCCAAACUGGCACUUAGACACGGUCCAGCCGCCUAGGGUAGGCAGCGGUGGGGAAUAUUGCACAAUGGGCGCAAGCCUGAUGCAGCCAUGCCGCGUGGAUGAAGAAGGCCUUCGGGUUGUAAAGUACUUUCAGCGGGGAGGCGUUACCCGCAGAAGAAGCACCGGCUAACUCCGUGCCAGCAGCCGCGGUAAUUC
rnacentral:rRNA from 1 species